UUAAAUUGAAGAGUUUGAUCAUGGCUCAGAUUGAACGCUGGCGGCAGGCCUAACACAUGCAAGUCGAACGGUAACAGGAAGCAGCUUGCUGCUUCGCUGACGAGUGGCGGACGGGUGAGUAAUGUCUGGGAAACUGCCUGAUGGAGGGGGAUAACUACUGGAAACGGUAGCUAAUACCGCAUAACGUCGCAAGACCAAAGAGGGGGACCUUCGGGCCUCUUGCCAUCGGA
rnacentral:rRNA from 1 species